rnacentral:rRNA from 1 species
AUUGAACGCUGGCGGCAAGCCUAACACAUGCAAGUCGAGCGGAUGAAGGAAGCUUGCUUCCCGAUUCAGCGGCGGACGGGUGAGUAAUGCCUAGGAAUCUGCCUAUUAGUGGGGGAUAACUCGGGGAAACUCGGGCUAAUACCGCAUACGUCCUACGGGAGAAAGUGGGGGAUCUUCGGACCUCACGCUAAUAGAUGAGCCUAGGUCGGAUUAGCCAGUUGGUGAGGUAACGGCUCACCUAGGCGACGAUCCGUAGCUGGUCUGAGAGGAUGAUCAGCCACACUGGAACUGAGACACGGUCCAGACUCCUACGGGAGGCAGCAGUGGGGAAUAUUGGACAAUGGGCGAAAGCCUGAUCCAGCCAUGCCGCGUGUGUGAAGAAGGUCUUCGGAUUGUAAAGCACUUUAAGUUGGGAGGAAGGUCUGUAAGCUAAUAUCUUGCAGUCUUGACGUUACCAACAGAAUAAGCACCGGCUAACUCUGUGCCAGCAGCCGCGGUAA